ACGAGAAGACAGGUCCUGCAGCAGGUCCUUCAACCCCUGUUUUGGCCUCCAGGCACUAUACAUCCUUCACCCUCCGUACUUUUAAAUUCGGUAAGGAGAAUUUCAGACCCAGGAAUACUGCUGUUUGAAAAGUUACCAAUAGUACUACUGUAUACUUGUACUGCCUUGAAGUUUGGCAAGAGAGAUACAGUAGUUAGCCUAUCCAUCCUGCUAGUGCUUCCUGUGUAGGUCGCAGCGCAGUGCCUCCUCGCAGCACUCCCAUGGCAUCGCCGUCAGGCCAGUUGCUGUGUUGCAGGUUGACCAGCGGUCUUCAAAAUAUGCCCAAUCUUCAUCAGUGAUGCCAGCUGCGAGUUCUGGUCGUGCAGCUUUCCGAGGUAUGGUGUACGUAGGGUUGUCUGAUACAUCUUCAGCACACGAAGAGCAACUGCUUAUGUUAAUCUGAUAAAUCUGGUGUCUCGUAGAGACAAGCCAUUGCAGUGUAUGAAAGUUUCAUCUUGAAAUGUGAUGACUUGUUUUAUGACAAUCCUACUCACUGAGCCACAAAUCUCGAAGGAAUAAUAGACGAUUGAGGUCUUUUUCUUUAUUAAUAUCCUUCAGACACACAUAUCUGAAACAACAGAGAAAAUGUUAUCUAUGAUCAAUACCCGGAAAAAUUCCUUAGAUGUGCGAUUUUUUCUGGGUAUACGAGAAUACCUCAAUACUUGGAAAUCUCUGCACCAAUUGUUUCAGCUAACAGAUAUGACUGUAUACAUAUAAGUGAGUAUGGCAAACAAGUAACAAUAGUUUGGUGGUAAAAAGUGCUAUCCAAAUACAGUAUCGAGUUUACUUAUCAUGUGGACUCCCUGUAUUACAUUAGGUCAAUUAGAAACCAGGUUAUAGGUUAUUGUUUAUUAGUUUCUUUUGUCAGAUAAAGAAUGAAGACUAGCAAAUGAUCAUACCUUGAAAGCAUGAAAAAAAAGAAAAAUGGCAGGUCUGGCUACAGUCAACUAGGUGCAAACAACAGCUAUUUCCCUAGUCAUAUAUAUUUUGUUUCUUGUCUUUUCAAAAAUGUACAAAAGUUACUCCUAUAAAGUUAUGUUAAAGAUCUGUACAAAAUAAGUACAUACAUCUACAUACACAUUCUAACAUUGAUUCUCUUUGUACCUCCAUAAAAAUAAUGUAAUAAUUUGCCUAUCUACAUAUCUUUGGGUUACUACAAAUUAAUUCUUUGAGAAUGCAAACUAUGACAAUAUAUCCAAGCCUCUAAAACAGGCAAAUAUUCCGUGUGACUUGCAAAUGACACAAAACAAGGAACCUUUGGCAACGAAUGUAGUUGACAACCCAAGAAACAACCUCCACUGUCAUUAACAGACCCU